rnacentral:rRNA from 1 species
UACGUAGGGGGCUAGCGUUGUCCGGAAUCAUUGGGCGUAAAGAGCGUGUAGGCGGUCCGGUAAGUCCGCUGUGAAAGUCGGGGGCUCAACCCUCGAAUGCCGGUGGAUACUGUCGGGCUAGAGUGCGGAAGAGGCGAGUGGAAUCCGUGGUGAUAGCGGUGAAAUGACGCAGAUAUCAGGAGGAACACCUAUUGCGAAGGCAGC